UGGGGAAUAUUGCGCAAUGGGGGAAACCCUGACGCAGCGACGCCGUGUGAGGGAAGAAGGCUUUCGGGUCGUAAACCUCUGUCGGGAAGGAAGAACCCCUUAGGGCCAAAUAAGCCCUGAGGCUGACGGUACUUCCAAAGGAAGCACCGGCUAACUCCGUGCCAGCAGCCGCGGUAAUACGGAGGGUGCAAGCGUUAAUCGGAAUCACUGGGCGUAAAGCGCGCGUAGGCGGUCUUUAAGUCGGACGUGAAAGCCCUCGGCUCAACCGGGGAAUUGCGUUCGAAACUGGGAGACUUGAGUCCUGGAGAGGGUGGCGGAAUUCCGGGUGUAGGAGUGAAAUCCGUAGAUAUCCGGAGGAACACCGGUGGCGAAGGCGGCCACCUGGACAGGUACUGACGCUGA
rnacentral:rRNA from 1 species